AAUUAAUCACUAAUUAAUUUUUUUUCUAAAUUAAUUUUUUAGUAAAUUAAUUUUUUUUAGUAAAUUAUUUUAUUUGAACUCAUUACUUCACUUAUUUGAACUCAUUACUUUAUUUUGUAACAUUUUUUUUUAACUAUGGUCUCAUAUGCUAUCAGAUUUUUCAAAGAUAAUAACUUAGAUAUUAAUAGCAACAUGUUUCAUCGUAUCGUAUCGUAUCCUGACUAUGCAUCGGACUUUUACCUUUCAAAUUCCGAAUGAUGUAUGAUAAUAGUAUUUGCAAAAUUAGGAAAAUGUAAACCUUAUAAUGUAUGGUUGGAAACCUUAUAUUCUAUGUAAACCUUAUAUGGUAUUUCAACAUGUUGAGUUGAAAAUUUUAUUAUGCAGCUGAAACAUUACUUCGAUAUAGGUGUGCAACAAAUGUACUCGUAUAUAUGUGUAAUUUGAAUAAGAUCCUAAUUCCAACGUUCUAUUGUAUGCAAAGUUAAUUAUAAUCAAUUAUAAGUAUUCAAUUUGAAUGAAAAAUAAUUAAGUGAUUUACCAUUGUACAUCUUGUUGAAGUAUCUACCUAAUUCAAAACCUACUUCUAUAUUAUAAAAAGGAAUGACAGUUAUAGGUAUGUCAAGGUACAUCUAUAGUGGUGAAGGAUGCAUCCAUGUACCUACCAGUGAUACACCCUCUUAUGAAAAUGAGCGACAGCUAUAGGGGUGCCAAGAUACAUCUAUAGUGCUGACACAACACCAAAACCCAUGUUUGCUGACACUAUUUUACUGGCUCACAUUAAAAGAGCCAGUAAAAGCAAUUUUAUGCUGGCAUUCUUCUUAAGGGCCCUCACUAUUUACCCACCCUAUUGUUUAAGACUGAUAUAACCCAAAAAAAUUCCUAAACCGCCAGCCUUCCCCUUCCCGCGGGAUUUUUUGGCGGCUACAUUUUGAUUUCGUGCACACAUAUACAGGAAAAAAAACUUUGUUUCCAAAAUCAAAACCCACGCGAAGCUGCUCCCCGCUCCACCACCAUCUCCGGCCUCGUUCUCCAGCCUUCGCCUUCGAACCGCCAACCUUCGCCUUCGUGAGGGAUUUUUUGGCCAGCCUUCGCCUUCGCCUUCGCCUUCGCCUUCGCGCGGGAUUUUUUGGCGGCUGCAUUUUUAUUUCGCGCGCACACAGGGAAAAAAAAAUCCUAACUUGUUCCCCAAAUUGAAACCCACACGAAGCCUUUGACGACUCCGGCUUGUUCCCCCGCUCCACCACCAUCUCCGGCCCUGUUCUCCACAUUCGUGACUACAACUUCGGCGAAACCCACAUCCCUAUGCACGCAACCUUGUUCUCAAGCUGAAGGUCGAAGCUUUGUGGAGCGUCUUCUCCGACGACGCACGCGACAUAGAAUAUCUUCAGCCAACAAGUUUGGAGUGAGGAGGCUCAGCAAUUGACUAUGUCACGUACAAAGUUUCAGCGAGGACGUUCUAUGAUUGGUCCUUAAUCUGCAACAAACACCUUUCGUAAUUCUAUUCAGAAAGAUGUACCAUCAAGUUCACACUCGUUAAGGCAAUCUGAAGGUCGCCCUCAUGAGAAUUUUUUUGAUUUGGGUAUUGAUAAUGACGACCUGUUUAGGCCUGAUGAUGAUCAACCUAAAGAAAGUAUAGGUAUUCAUUCAUAAAACCUAUAGGAGUAUAGUUUAGAGAAUUAAUUGAUCACCGUUAAAUAAUUAUUUUUUAACUAUCUCUUAUGAUUAUUUGAGAACAGAUGCUUCUAAAAAGUCUAGGAAUGGGAGAGGUCCUACUCGCAUGCACAAAAUAUGGGCUAGACAUGAUGAUGAUUUGUUGGCAUUAAAUUUUAAUGAAUUUGAUCAGCCUGUCGGCAAUGAAGCUGCACAAUUCACAAACUUUUUAGGCACUGUUGCUAAAAGUGGAAAAAAUGCACCAUUGACAUAUAAAAUUGGAGGCACAUGUCUUUGGACAACAAAAAGAUAAUGUGGAGUAUUGUUAAGGUAUCAAUUUUUUAGCUGGUUUGUCUUUGUUUUUAAUAUCUAAAUAUCUAUAAGUAAACAAAUUUGAGAAUUUCUUACAGUUAAAGUAUAACCUUGGAGAUGAUAAUUGGCCGUGGGUUAUGAAAGCUCUUAGAAAAAAAUGGAAGGACUUCAAAUCUGAUCUUGAAAAAAAAGCACUACGAUGCUCACAGUACUUAUGAAGAUCGUCUUGCUGAUCGUGAUUCGAGAGUCCUCCCAGAGCAGUGGAGACAAUUGAUUGAAUAUUGGGACAGUGAAGAAGGACAGACAUGUAGUUUAAGAAACAAAGGUAAUCGAUCUAAGCAAAUUACUACUCACACUGCUGGCUCAAAAAGUUUUGCUCGUAUUCGUGAAGAAAAGCGAAAGGAAAAAGGAGUAUUGCCAACUAGAGCCGAACUAUUUAAGAUUACUCAUAUUCACAAAAAUGGAGAUCCAAUGACUGAAGAAUGU